UAUAGCAACUCUGCUUGGGAUGGAGCUGCUUGCAUGUGAAUAUCUUGUCCCUUAUCGAAUGCGUCCCAAGCAUGAAUAUUCAGCUGCUUGAACUCCAAAGCUUGACCGCUAUUUCUGUAUUGAUUAUCUCCCCCAUAGAACUUCUCAUUAGGAUCAGCAUCUGGAAGAGGAUCCUCACGCAUUGACCGGGUUUUGGGAUCAUAAUGGGCAGAGUUGACAUCAAGAUUUAAAAGAUAUUUUGCUGUAUCCUCCCGUAUACGCAAAUUCCUGACAGUCCCUGUGCUCCCACCACCAGUUGUGCGUACACGCUUCUCUACCUUCGCAAAAUCCAUUUGUUUGCUCUCAUCAACUUUGGCUUCAUCCACCCUCAAAUCAUCUUC
rnacentral:misc_RNA from 1 species